CUCAGGAGGGUGAUUCCUUUUGGGACCAUCUCUCAGGACCGGUCACAGCUUCCUCGGUCAGAGCUACUGACCCCACCCCAGCUGUAAUAACUGGCGUCCAAACAGCCAUUGGACCCCGGACCUUGGAUUCCUGGCCUGAGCUGCGUCUUGACCACGCCAAGACAGAACCAGCUGUUCGUGUGCUGAUCCUCUGAAAAAAGGACCUACGUUUAAGCAUGGCCUUUUGGAGGGGGACAGUUCGAGACACUCGCUUCUCUCACCUGGGGAAGAAACCCCUGAGGAUCGAACUGGCCGGACCAUCCCCCCAGCAGACUGUUUUUGGACUUCAACAGGAGCCAGCCCCAGCAGAAGACGGAAUUUCCUCCCCUUCGCUGGAGUACAAACCAACAAUAAAGCUACUUUGUGUGGAACCAGCUA